GUUUGUGUCCACAUCGAGGCUGCUACCUAAGGAAAUGUCAUAGGCUGGGUGGGUCAGACAGCAGACUUUUAUUUCUGGCGGUCUAGAGACUGGAAGUCCUGAGAUCAGGGUGACCUCCUGGUUGGAUUCUCAGCGUGGGCUCUUCUCCUGGUUCUGUCGCCUUCAUCUUAUACUGUGGCCUUUCCUCGGUGCAUGCACACUCAGAGAUCCCACGUUUCUUUUCUUUUCUUCUUCUUUUUAAUCAGUUCCAUCAAGGGGCUCUACCCUCGUGAUCUUACCAAAACCCAUCUCUCAAAGACCCAGCCUCCAAACACCAUCCCACUAGUGAUGAGGGCUUCACCACCGGAAAUUUUGGAGGACACAGACAUUCAGUCCACAGCAGUGAGCAAGCAGCCAGGUACGCAGUUUGGAACCAGAAGAGAAAGAGAAACUAGGAGACACGCAAACAAAAGAAUCUAAGUCCAUUGUGCCAAUAUGCCUUUGAUUCCAAGGGAAAUGGCAACACAACACACAUACAGAAAAGCGUGCAUUAUUGGAAGCGUCUGAUUGGAUGGAUUCUUAUGAACGACAUACCCGUGUAAGCGGCGCUCAGAUCCAGAACCUGCUGAGAACUCAGAACCUUCCUGUGGUCCCUUCCUGUGAGAACGCCCCGAAAGGCAGCCCCAGGCCUGACUUGUAACACCACGGCUUGAGCUUCACCCUUGAUAAUCAUGCUACUACAAAAUUUGAAGCGAUGUUUUUAUUGGAUAGCCUUGCUCUGGACAAUGACCGCCCACUUAUUUUCCUGGGGUAACUUGCAAGAGUGGGUGAGUUAUCUCUUAUUUUAGGAAUCUCUUAGCUCUGAUGGGCCUUGCAAAGCAUGUUGGAAGCGAGGGUUUGGGGAAAAUGACAAACAGGGGGGAGCCACUUCCGAAACAACGAGUUUUCCUAACUAGCUCAUUGGAAAGACAGAAGGAUUUUCUCUGCAGCAAAAUUAAUUUGGGCAAAGUUGGACGAUCGAGUAGACAUGGUAUUAGCACCUACUAUGAGUAAUCAUAGGGCCCCAAAUUUCAUUGUUUGACUCCCCUUUAAAAGCUUAAGAAUAAAGAAAUGAGAGUAGUCCCCCACGAGAGUUUAGGAAAAAUGAAUCAGGAGUGUGUAAGCUGUAGCAUAGCGAAGGAGAGGAGACAUCCCGUAUCAAGGUGAGAUUUCAUAUGCUGGUUUGUCGUCUCCAUAAUAAUGCGUCAGUGCUGGGCUGUUUGGGUGGGGGCAUCCGAGACCGAGCCUGGUUUAGUUGGGCCAGAGGGAGGUUUCCAUGAAACCUCUACUCUUGCUCCUUGGCCAGAGUAAUGCGUUAGCCCUAGCAUCAUUAAAGGGCUCUGCAGGAGAAUGAAUGAUAGGCCUGUUCGCCAGGCUUGCUGUCGGUUUCGCGUUUGUUUCCCUUGCUGCUGGUUGCUGAUUUGUUUCUCCCGAUGGAUGCCAAAAUCCUUGCCAUGAGAGAUCUUGUUUCCUUUUUCUAAACUCCUGUAUUGUUGUGGCGCCUGGCGGGCUCAGUCGGUGGAGCCUGCGACUCUUGAUCUUGGGGUUGUGAGUUUGAGCCCCACGUUGGGUGUAGAGAUGACUUAAACAAACCAACAAACAAAACUCCUGUGUUGUUGCACAUAAUACGCACCGUCACUUGGUGUUUGUUAGUUGAUACAGUUAGUGGCUAAUAAAAAAACCCCAAAACCAGACCGUCCUCUUUCCUCCCCUCCUGCCCUCCUUCCCCUUCUGGCCCUACUUUCUCCAUUUCAUCUAUGCUCUUUCCUUCCCUCCAUUUCGUUACUGCUUUUUAUUAAUUUUUUUUCCCUCUAAGGUAUGGGUUACAUAGAGAAGUCCUGAAGAAUGUGUGUUUAACUGGCCGGUCCGUGCCCUUUCUUUUUCUAAUAAAGCCUGGCCUUAACUGAGUGUCACUUUAGUGUUUUCUUUGACCACCUCUGCCCUUCCUUGGGCACGGUCUCCUCACACAGGUGGCCCUGGGGGGUGGAGGGCCCUCACGUGGUACCCAGUGGCUGGCUCAGCACAGACUUGCCUUGGACAAGGGCCAGGCCUGGGGCUGGAGCUGGGCAAACACCGUUCCACCGGGAGCUGAUUGGAUGGAGGCCCAGGGUGGAGUACCCAUGGGCUCAAUGGAGGCCUGGUUUUACUUAAGAUAUUCCAAAGAGUGAAGGGGGAAGUAAACAGUCUGCUAAUUAAAUCUGUAGGUGGCCGUAAAUUCAGAGGUGUUGCAAAGCCCUCUGCACACAUCGAGGACGUUGGGAAAACACAAAGAGCCGUAGAAAGGUGAGGCAAGGCUUGGGGAGAUGAGAUUCCGCCUGGAAAAGUACAAGCCGCCAUCUGGAGAGCAAUUAGCCAUGGUAGUGUGCUCCGUGGGGCGUAAGUCAGUGGCGCUGUGAUUGACUUGGAGCCAGAACUGUUAAGUCCUGUUUCUUGUUCUUGAUAGUUAGUAGUAAUCAUUUAUUUUUUUUAACCCCUAAAUGUAUUGCAUAGGAAUCAAGCCAGUCCCACUAUACUCUGUGUUUGUAAGGCUUGGCCUGAAGGGUGAGCAGAUAAGAAAGAAGUGUGUUCCUCAAAUUACUUGCCCUCUGCUUAUGUUUCCUUUGGCUGUGUACCCCUAGUGUGGCCAGGGGGCCGGGAUCUUAGAGGUUCGUUCUGAGGACUGGAAGCAUGGCUGGCCAGCUGGUGGGGGCAGGCGCCUGCUUGGUGUGGAUCGUAAGGCACCUUGCUUCUGGGUGGGUGUAAGUCCACCGGGAGGGCACGUGCAGUUGGUCUCAGGGGCACCCCUCGGUUUAUAGGUUUAUAGAUCUGCCUCAGCCUUUGUGGCCUUGCUUCUUCCUAGGAUCCCCAUAAUCAUACAAAUAUGCUUGUAGUGCUCUGCACUGACUUCCAUUGGCCAGUUUGAAAAACUAAACCUAGUGAUGGGAGACACGAUUGCCUUGAGGGUGAAGAGCUGGUUUUUGGUGUUAGAUCUCUCUGUUCAAGUCUCUGGGCAAUCUUGACCACCUUGCUUCAUUUCUUAGCUGCCAUUUCCUUAUCUGUUAAAUGGCAACCAUAGGGUUGAGGAGGUAUUCUAGAUGGAGAACUUUGCUCAGUAGGGAACUUCAGCUGGAUAACCAUUCGCCGUCCUUGAAGUAAGUGCAGGUCAUGUUCAAGACCUUUUCCGUAUGAGUUCAGAGGAGACCCUCCCAGGUGAGGUCGUCCUGGAAGGUGGCACUGAACAGUGGACAAGAGCCAUGAGAGCAAGGAUGCAUCCGGUCCUGCCGUGCUCGUGCUUGGACAGGACCUAAGUUCACUUGUGAGUUUCCUGAUGUGGUUGCUUGAACGCCAAGUUAUCCUCUUGCCUUCUGACGUGCUAGAGUAAAUAAACGUUUGCAGAGAAUUUACAAAAGCAAUGAUUGCAGCCAGUAAACCAUGUGAUGGUCAUGAUGGAGACUGGGGGGGUGGUGGCGGUCACAGAAGGUUUGGAUCUUGCCUGUGAGAGCAUCUUGCAUUGUCUCUUGUGGACGUUCCUCCGAGAAGGAAGGGGCACGACCCAGCCUUUCUCUGGAGUUGGAGGAGGAAGAUGGCCAGGUUGGAGGUGUCGGGCUUACUGUGCAUAAACACAUGUCUGCGUGUGCCGCUUUGCAGUGACUGUGACUCUCUGUGUUUGAGGAAGGACUUCUGGGGAGAAGGGCGGGGCUGCUGGGUGACCUGAUUUGUUCCCUCUGUUCCCUUCUGGCCUAGACUGGGCAGGUAGCCCUGACCCACAAGGUCUUAAACUGCCCGAAAGGAAAUCCAUUUGCUGAUAGGGAAGAUACACUUAGAGAUAAAGAAGAGAAUGUUUUGUUACAGCUUCCUCCUCAGCCUGCCUCCAGAGCUGGUGACUGGACCAUUCUUUCUGGGUUCCUGAAAUCUCAUCCUUGGAACUCAAACCCCGACCAUAAUUACCCUGGUGACUGUCUCCUAAUUGUUUUAUCUGCCUUCAUUUUCUCUUCCCUUCCCAGUGGGACCGAGGAGCCUUUGAGGACAGGCCUCAAGACCUCUCUUUAUUUUCCACCACACGGGCUCCCUAAAAACCUGGCUGAAGGAUUUAAGAGGUGUUUCAUUUCUAUAACUUUUUUACUUAUUUAUUUUUAAAAGCCUAUUUAUUUAUUUUGAGAGAUAGAGGGAGAGAGAGUGUGUGUGUGAGGGGAAAGGGGCAGAGAUAGAGAGGGAGAGAGAGCAUCCCAAGCAGGCUCCAUGCUGUCAGCACAGAGCCCGAUGGAGGGCUCGAACCCACAAACUGGGAGAUCAUGACCUGAGUUGAAAUCAAGAGUUAGAUACUCAACCAACUGAGCCACCCAGGUGCCCUUAAGAUUUUUUUUUAAUGUUUAUUUUACUUAUUGAGAGAGAGAGAGAGGAAGAGAGAAUCCCAAGUAGGCUCAGCACUGUCAAUGCAGAGCCUGACUUGGGGCUCGAUAUCAGGAACCGUGAGAUCAUGACCUGAGCCAAAAUCAAGUUGGACGCUUAAUGGACUGAGCCACCCAGGCGCCCCACAUGUUUAUUACUUAAAUAAUGAAUUGUUUGUAGUUAAAAAAAAAAUUUUUUUUUUUAAUGUUUAUUUUUGAGAGAGAGAGAGAGACCGAGUGUGAGCAGAGGAGUGGCAGAGAGAGAGGGAGACACGGAAUCCGAAGCAGGCUCCAGGCUCUGAGCUGUCAGCACAGAGCCCGGUGCGCGGCUCGAAGUCACAGACUGUGAGAUCAUGACCUGAGCCGGAGUCGGACGCUUAACCGUCUGAGCCACCCAGCCGCCCCUAGAUUGUUUGUUGUUUAAAUUGCCUCUGUCGGGAGUCUGUAGGACUCUAUUUUUAGCGCUUUCCACUAGGCCUUGCAACUAUGGCACUGCUUCUUGCAAAGUUGAGGUGGGUGAGAGGCCUUCCCUGAGGGUCUAAUAACCUGGGUCUCCCUCAGCCCCCCUGCCAAAACUUGCUUUCUAGAACAUGCCUGGGUGUCAGCAUGAACGAGUUCCAGUGAGUAUGAUGAUGAGCUGUAGCUCAUGGUGAGGCAAGGAAGCCCCAGCUGCUGGGUCUGCAGGGGUGACUGCCUCUGGGCAAGAGUGUGUUAAAUUGAUUCUCUGAGCUGCAGCCCACCUCUCAGGUGUCAGCUCCUAAGUGGGUGGCCCUGGCGUCUUUGGGAGUUCUUGGAAGCCUGACAGAAGACCAGGAAACAGAGACCACAAGCUUUUGAGAAUCCCACAGAUAUGCUGUGAGGGUAAAGUAUGUGAUGAUCUAUGUGACCCCCCCCCCCCCCAGACUUACUGAAGGAUUCCUUCAUGUGGGUAUUGGAGUGGUGUGUAAGACUGGGAAGCAUUAAUAUCUUAUUUUAUUUUUACUAUUUAUGUGUGUAUGUAUGUAUGCAUUUAUUUAUUUAGUUUUAGUUUUUAAAUUAAUCUCUACACCCAAUGUGGGGCUUGAACUCACAACCCUGAGAUCAAGAGUCAUAUACUUUACUGACUGAGCCAGUCUGGUGCCCCUAUAUUGUUUUAUUUUUCAUUUCAUUUUAUUUAUUUUUUAAAUACUUGUGGGGAAUCUUUAUUUAUUUGGAGAGAGAAUGGGUGGAAGUGAGCAAGGUGCAGAGAGAGAGAGAGAGAGAGAAGGAGAGAGAGAAGCAGGGCUCACCUGAAGGGGGUGGGGUGGGGCUUGUGCUCACCGGAUUCGGGCCUCAAACUCAACAAACCAUGAGAUCAUGACCUGAGCUGAAGUUGGACAUUUAAUCGACUGAGUCCCCUGGGUGCCCCGUGAUUCUUUUUCUUUUCACAAUGACGUAAAAGAUUUAGAAGGUCAUUAAUUUGUCGAAUGAACUCAGCUGGUGGAGCCCCUGGCCACAGACAAAUAGUUACAUAUAAGCUGGACCAGAAGUGUCCACCGUGCAGUAUGUGUUCAUCAGAGUCAGUAGAAACAGGUGAUUGGGCUUGUGCUCUCUGCUCUUUACGCCUCUACUUACCUCUUGUCCUUCCCUCCUUAGUCCGCUGUUGUGGGUUCCUGAUCGUGUUUGGUUAUUUGUCUGCUCAAAGCCAGUGGUGCUGUGUGGGAGCACAUAUCUGCUAGCCAGGCCCUAACAGGAAAGCAUGGCUGUGAGUGCCUGGGUGAUGAGGCCAGGUGAACCAGGUUCAAAGUCACCAGGUGAUGAGGCCAGGUGAACCAGGUUCAAAGCAAGUAUGUUCACUUGGGUGGGGUAUUUAACAUCUGCCCCCCCCCCCCCCGUUCUUCUUGUGCAAGAUGAGGGGGGGAUAAUGAGCCCCUCAUGUAGGGUUAAUAGCACAGACUAGCAUCAGACUGCCUGCGUUUGAAUUCUGGCCCCACUGCUGCGGCUUCAUAACUUUGAGCAAGUCACUUGACUCUGCCUCAGUUGGUGAAUCUGCAAAAUAGGAUGCAAAUAGUUUUUCAUCGGAAUGUUGGGAGGAGUAAAUGGCUCAUAUGAUAGACGUUUAGAAUAGGGGCAAGGCAGACACCAAGUCUGUGUAACUUUUUGGUUUAAUGAACUACCUAUAGGGAC